rnacentral:rRNA from 1 species
UACGUAGGGUGCAAGCGUUGUCCGGAAUUAUUGGGCGUAAAGAGCUCGUAGGCGGUUUGUCGCGUCUGCUGUGAAAACUCGGGGCUUAACCCCGGGCCUGCAGUGGGUACGGGCAGACUAGAGUGCGGUAGGGGAGAUUGGAAUUCCUGGUGUAGCGGUGAAAUGCGCAGAUAUCAGGAGGAACACCGGUGGCGAAGGCGGGUCUCUGGGCCGUAACUGACGCUGAGGAGCGAAAGCGUGGGGAGCGAACAGG